rnacentral:lncRNA from 1 species
CCCCAACCCCCUCAAUCCCCCUUUCUCUCCUCAUCCUUUUCCCCUCUUUCUCCCUGCCUCUUUUUGGUUAUGCCAGGCAAUAUCUAAUCUGCAUUUUAGCAAGUCAUUCCUGACAAAUGGAAAGGUGAAUGCUCUUCCACAGUUCUCCCUGGCAAGGCAAUUUUUCUUGUUAGCAUCCUUCUGUACGCUCCAUUACCCUUUUUCCUUUAUGUAUAGGUUAAGAGGAAAUGAUGAGGCUCUGAUUUAUCAAUGAGAAAUCAUUUACACUGUAGGACAUUCAAAUCCUUUAGUCUCAGACUUAAGAUCAGUUUCACUCCAGGUUUCUAUGCUCUGUGGAAAUUUCAUCACUGGACAGUGCUUUCCUUUUAAGGAGGUUGCCCUUUUUUUGUGUUCUCUCUUCUCUUCCUCUCCCAGUAACCACCGGAGGGCGAGAGAGCCAGCUAGUUAUCAGGAUGGAGGCAUCAUUUUAGGAGCUGGAAUCCUGUUUAGUUAUAUAAUGCCCUGCAGUGCUGUUUGGAAGGAGGGAAACCUGUAGGGAUAUUUUCCCAUUGGGACCCAGAGGAAAGAAGUUUCAAAUAUAUCUUUUCAAAGUAAUUUUUCACCAAAUCUGAGUUUAGAAAAUUUCAACAAACUCCUUCCUCUUUUGGAAAAGCGGAGAAGCUUUUGAAAUGUUUCUCUUCCAUGUGUUAUCCCCUCAUCAUCAGUCUAAUUACCUCUUUUGAAAUACUGCUUUAUGCUCUCGGCCUUAGCGCCAUUUUUUUGGAAACCUCUGUGCCAUGAGAGCCAAGUGGAGGAAGAAGCGAAUGCGCAGGCUGAAGCGCAAAAGAAGAAAGAUGAGGCAGAGGUCCAAGUAAACCGCUAGCUUGUUGCACCGUGGAGGCCACAGGAGCAGAAACAUGGAAUGCCAGACGCUGGGGAUGCUGGUACAAGUUGUGGGACUGCAUGCUACUGUCUAGAACUUGUCUCAAUGGAUCUAGAACUUCAUCGCCCUCUGAUCGCCGAUCACCUCUGAGACCCACCUUGCUCAUAAACAAAAUGCCCAUGUUGGUCCUCUGCCCUGGACCUGUGACAUUCUGGACUAUUUCUGUGUUUAUUUGUGGCCGAGUGUAACAACCAUAUAAUAAAUCACCUCUUCCGCUGUUUUAGCUGAAGAAUUAAAAAAAAAAAAA